rnacentral:rRNA from 1 species
GGUUAUAAGGGCAUAUGGCGGAUGGCUCGAGAUAAGAUGGGCGAUGAAGGACGUGGCGUGCCUGCGAUAAGCUUGGGGGAGGUGGCUAGCAACCUUUGAUCCCAAGAUUUCCGAAUGGGGAAACCCCGCGCCGAGAAAUCGGCGUGAUCUUGCAUCUUAAAUGGUGCCGGAAGCGAACCCGCUGAAGUAAAACAUUUCAGUAAGCGGAGGAAAAGAAAAAAAUAUUUAUUCCCUUAGUAGCGGCGAGCGAAAAGGGAGCAGCCCAGAUCGUCAAUGCUGCGCAUUGACGCGCUGAAAACGCUGACUGGACGCUGACAGUCGCAGAAUAAAUUCUGCGUUAGUCUGCGUUUCUUCUGCGUAAAUCGGCGCGCCACUGCGCAGCAGUGGCGAAGUUGUAAGUUUAAUCCUGGUCUUUAAUGAUGGGGAGAAUAAAAACAUUAGCAGAACGGUCCUGGAAAGGCCGGCCAAAGAGGGUAAUAGCCCCGUAAACGACAAUGAUUUUUUACUUUCUGGAUUUUACUUGAGUACCUCGAAAAAUGUAUAGUUCGGGGGAAUCUGCCAGCACGAGCUGGUAAGGCUAAAUACCAUCUAUCAUCGAUAGUGAACAAGUACCGUGAGGGAAAGUUGAAAAGCAGCCCGGUGAGGGCGAUGAAAUAGUACCUGAAACCAUAUGCUUACAAAGAGUCGGAGCCCCGCCCCACUUUUACGAUGUAAUUUUUAUUUGCGAAGUAUUACCACGCGAGUAAUCUUGCAAAGAUAAAAAAGUCUGAGAGACUUUUUUAUGAAAUUAUUGUUUUGUAAAAGUGGGGCUGGGUGACGGCGUGCCUAUUGAAGAAUGAGCCAACGAGUUAUCCAACACCUUUCGUCUAAGGGCACCUAGCCCGGAGGCACAGGGAAACCAAGUGUUAAAAGCGCGAUUUUCUCCGACGUUACGUCGGAGAAAAAAAGAUGUUGGAUAGACCCGAAGCGAGAUGAGCUUACCAUGACCAGGGUGAACCUCGGAGAAAUCCGGGGGGAGGCCCGAACCGUUUAGCCGUUCAAAACUAUCGGAUGAGUUGUGGUAAGGAGUGAAAAGCUAAUCGAAUCUCGUAAUAGCUGGUUCUCUCCGAAAUAGCUUUUCGGCUAGCGCCCGCCAAAAAUUAGCAGGUAGAGCUACUAGAUGGACUUGACAGGGAGAAAUCUCGCGAGUCCAACUAAACUCCGAAUGGCUAAUCUAUUUAGGCGGGUAGUCAGACCAUGGGGGCUAAGCUCCAUCGGUCAAAAGGGAAACAGCCCAGAUCUCAAUCUAAGGUCCCUAAAUUUCUGCUAAGUGCAAAGAAGGUGGUGAAGUUUCUUAAACAGCGAGGAGGUUGGCUUAGAAGCAGCCAUCCUUUAAAGAGUGCGUAACAGCUCACUCGUCAAGAGACUUCGCGCCGAAAAUUAUCGGGGCUAAGCAGAGUACCGAAGGUGAGAUCGUCAGUGCAUAGCACUGACGCGCGGAAAGCGCGGACUUGACGCAGACAGUCGCAGAAAAUAAUUCUGCAUGUUCUGCGUUUAUUCUGCGUAAAUCGGCGCGCCAAUACUAUGCAUUGGCGAGGUAGGAGAGCGUUCCAAAUGCAGUGAAGCUCACGGCGCGAGCCGGGGUGGAGCGUUUGGAAGUGAGAAUGUUGGCACAAGUAACCGCAAGUUCGGUGAAAUACCGUACCACCGAAAACCCAAGGUUUCCUUGGCAAUGGAAAUCAGCCAAGGGUUAGUCGGGCCUAAGCCAAUGGCGAAAGCCGGAGGCGAUGGACAGCUGGUUAAUAUUCCAGCACUGCGUAUUGUUUUGACGGCAGGACGGAGCCUAGUAUGUCGGGCGCGUUAUUGGAUUCGCGUUCAUUGCGUAAGCGCGGGGCGGAGGAAAAUCCCUGCCCAGCCCCGCCACGGCGGGGGCGCGCGAAUGUUUUGAAAAUUUUUGCAGCAAUGCGAAAAAAUUCGGUAAAGCAGGCUUCCCAGAAAAUUGUCUAAAAUUAUCAAUACGCAACCGUACCGGAAUCCGACACAGGUGGGUGGGAGGAGAACUCCCAGGUGAACGAGUGAAAGAUCCCCAAGGAACUCGGCAAAAAAGCGGACGUAACUUAGGGAUAUGUCCUUCCCGCCAACAUUAGAUAAUAUCAAAAUGAAGGCGGGACGCAGCGAAAGUACCCCUGGCGACUGUUUAACAAAAACACAGCUCCCUGCAAACUCGUAAGAGGAAGUAUAGGGGGUGAUGCCUGACCAAUGCGAGAAGGUUAACGCUGGCGUUCGCGUGGAGCAAUCUGCGCGGGUGACUGGCCGAAGCCCUCGUCAAUGUCGGCCGUAACUAUAACGGUCCUAAGGUUCUGGAAUUAUUUUGAAAUGAUUCCGGAAGGACUAGGACUGUUAUAGCGAUACAUAUGUUAAACAAAAAUAGCUGCCUCAUUGUGUAGCAAUACGCAAUUGGUCCAAAAUUACAUGGCUAUAUGCUGGAAACUCCGCAAGUAUCCUCAAGUACUUUGUGUCCUAAACCAGGUUUGGGUCAUAAAGUGAAAAUCUGUGAGGUGGCGCGGACAAUCAGCAGGAAACUGUAAUAUCUAAAGGAGGAAAAGAACAUGAAAAAUGACUGGGACGUACUUGUCCAAAGACGUUGGUGGAUGUCUCGUGCAGACAUCGACGUUCUUUACUACAAGUGGAAGACGGGACAAAUUCAAGUUGGAGAUGAAGAAAUGCUGAGAGAGUUUCAGGCUGUUCGUUCUGAAGAAAUAAAGAUCGAAGCAGCCGAGAUGCCAGAAUCUCCAGCUGUCUUCAUGUUCGGCGGAAUGUUGGAUGCAAUGUUCGAGAAAACUCCAAAUGGGCAAAAGUAGUUCAAGCCCUUCCUGUAAGGAAGGCGCAAAGAAACUCUUUGCCUCUUCCUUUAGGUAUUACAGGAUCCUCAGAUACCAUACGCCGUGCAUCUCUAAGUAGAUGAAGAUAUGGUACUUCGCCCCAAGGAAGCGAACAGCGAAAUUCCUUGUCUGGUGAGUUCAGACGCGCACGAAAGGUAUAACGACUGGGGGACUGUCUCGGGNNNNNNNNNNNNNNNNNNNNNNNNNNNNGGAUUUACUCGGUGAAAAUGCGAUACCGGUGAAGAUGCCGGUUAAGUGCAGUUAGACGAAAAGACCCCGGAAGCUUUACUGCAAGUUGUUAUUGGCUUUACGUUUUUACUACGUAGCGUAGUGGGUAGGCUUUGAAAUGCCGCUCUCGGGCGGCAUGGAGCCGCCAAUGAAACACCCAUUUUUAAAAAUGUAAAAUCUAACCUGUCCGGCAAAACCGGGUGGGGACAGUAGCUGCUGGGCAGUUUGUGUGGGGCGCAAGCCUCCUAAAAAGUAACGGAGGCGUUUAUUAAGGUCGGCUAGCUCCGGAUGGACAUCGGAGCGAUAGUGCAAUGGCACAAGCCGGCUUAACUGGAAGUCGGACAUGACGACCAGAUACGAAAGUAGAACAUAGUGAACCGACCGUGGGCACUCGAUGCCGCGGAAGAUUAACGGAUAAAAGCUACUCCGGGGAUAACAGGCUAGUUCCGCCCAAGAGUCCAUAUCGACGGCGGAGUUCGGCACCUCGAUGUCGGCUCAUCUUAUCCUGGGGGUGGAGAAGCUCCCAAGGGUUUGGCUGUUCGCCAAUUAAAAAGGUACGUGAGCUGGGUUCAGACCGUCGUGAGACAGGUUGGUCUCCUAUCUACUGCACUCGUUGAUUCUUGAGGGGGGUUCUUCCUAGUACGAGAGGACCGGAAGGAGGCGACCUCUGGUCUACCUGCUGUUCCGCCAGGAGCACCGCAGGGCAGCUAUGUCGUUGAGUGAUAAGCGCUGAAAGCAUCUAAGCGCGAAGCAUGCCCCAAGAUUAGGAAUCGUUAUCAGAUCCCUCGAAGACUACGAGGUUGAUAGGCUCCAGGUGUAAGUGCCGCAAGGCAUUCAGCCGAGGAGUACUAAUAGAUCGAGCCGUCUUGU